UACGGGGGGAGCAAGCGUUGUUCGGAUUUACUGGGCGUAAAGGGCGCGUAGGCGGCCACCGCAAGUCAAUUGUGAAAUCUCCGGGCUCAACCCGGAAAGGUCAACUGAUACUGCGGGGCUAGAGUGCAGAAGGGGCAACUGGAAUUCUCGGUGUAGCGGUGAAAUGCGUAGAUAUCGAGAGGAACACCUGCGGCGAAGGCGGGUUGCUGGGCUGAUACUGACGCUGAGGCGCGAAAGCCAGGGGAGCGAACGGG
rnacentral:rRNA from 1 species